UCUCCGUAGGUGAACCUGCGGAAGGAUCAUCAACAAAUCCAACCAAAAACCCAACCACACCAAUGUGAACCGUUUAUCGCUCUCCUGCGCUUUUUUUCUCUUUCUUUCCCCCUCUCGCGGGGGGGGGGGAAAAUUGCGAAGAGGGGCGCAGGACGAGUAUUUUAUCAAAAAAAAAAAAAAAAUUAUUCACCCCCAUACCAUUCUCGUACAUCGAGCCUAAGUUAUUACGUUUUUUUUUUUCCUUCGGGAAAAAGAAAAAGUUAUGUAUUAAAAUACAAAAAAAAAUUAAGACACAACUUUUAACAACGGAUCUCUUGGCUCUC
rnacentral:misc_RNA from 1 species